CUAACACCUCUUCGUAUUUAGAAAACAACUAUGUUUUUUAGGCAUAAAACAAAUGCAAUUUCUGAAUUAUUUUGGAGUUAACUGGAAUGCAGACUCUGGAUCCCAAAGGCCCUGUCUGAAUUCUUGCUGUGACAUUUAUUAGCUCCGUCACCUCGACAGAUGAUUUGGCAGCAAAAAGCCCUAGAUUCCCACGUGGCACCCAGAGCUGGAGUUGCGCUCAGAGAACAUAAGCUCCCUGAAGACAGUACUUUGCUUUUCUCACCCUGUGGCCCCAGC